rnacentral:lncRNA from 1 species
AAUGAAAUGAAGUUGAAAGAAAGUGUCCUUUUCUCUGAAAAGAAAGCAGAAGGGUCCAAAAAGCCCUCCGGCUGCUCCGAGAAACUAUGAAACAGUGAAUCUGCUCCCUGCGGAAACGCACUGGAAAACAGGGUGCUUGGAAGCAACCAGCCAGCGGUCUCCGACCAGGCAGCGAGGAGCUCUUGGUGGGUUUGUCGCUCCAGGCGUGGGCCCGCGAUCGGCCGCGCCAGCGAUGCUGCUGGAAAUCAGAGUCUUUUAGAGAAGCUUUCCUGAAGAGGUCACCCUGAUGUUACCUGGAGAGAUAGCAACAACGGCCUGUUCUCACGGCAGACUUCCAGCACCCGGAGCUAAUUCCCCAUGCUGCUUCAGGCUCCUUUCCUGACCCAAGACACCCAAAGGAAGCCGUGUCUCCAGGUUAGCCUCUGUCAAGCUCUGGAUGGUGCCAAUGGCAGGAACCUACCUAUAAAGUCGUUAUCCAGCCAUCUACAACAAAACUCUUUCUCUGCAUGCAGAAGCCAGUUCAGUUCGGAUUUUUUAGCACAGCGUGUAUUAUGGCAUUCCUUCCUGUGGCGACUGGCCAAGGCAACGAAAUCCUGCUCUGACUAA